CGACCUGCACGAAUGGCGUAACGAUCUGGGCACUGUCUCAACAAGAGACUCGGUGAAAUUGUAGCACCAGUGAAGAUGCUGGUAACCCGCAACUAGACGGAAAGACCCCGUGAACCUUUACUAUAGCCUGACAUUGAAUCUGGGUAUGGUAUGUAGAGGAUAGGUGGGAGACUAUGAAGCGUGGGCGUUAGCCUGCGUGGAGUCAACCUUGGAAUACCACCCUUACUUGAUUAGUGUUCUAACCUAGGCUCGUGAAUCCGGGCUGGGGACAGUGUCAGGCGGGCAGUUUGACUGGGGCGGUCGCCUCCCAAAAAGUAACGGAGGCGCCCAAAGGUUCCCUCAGCAUGAUUGGAAACCAUGCGCAGAGUGUAAAGGCAGAAGGGAGCCUGACUGUGAGACUCACAAGUCGAGCAGAUGCGAAAGCAGGGCUUAGUGAUCCGGCGAUCCCGUAUGGAAGGGUCGUUGCUCAACGGACAAAAGGUACGCCGGGGAUAACAGGCUUAUCUCCUCCAAGAGUUCACAUCGACGAGGAGGUUUGGCACCUCGAUGUCGGCCCAUCACAUCCUGGGGCUGAAGCAGGUCCCAAGGGUUCGGCUGUUCGCCGAUUAAAGUGGUACGCGAGUUGGGUUUAGAACGUCGUGAGACAGUUCGGUCCUUAUCCGCCGUGGGCGUAGGAUACUUGAGGGGAGCUGUCCCUAGUACGAGAGGACCGGGAUGGACGCACCUAUGGUGUUCCAGUUGUUCCGCCAGGGGCAUUGCUGGGUAGCUAUGUGCGGAAGGGAUAAGCGCUGAAAGCAUCUAAGCGCCAAGCCCACCCCAAGAUAAGGUAUCCCUCCUCGAAAGAGGACUAAAGGCCCCUUGAAGACAACAAGGUUGAUAGGCCGGAUGUGGAAGCGGAGUAAUCCGUUCAGCUAACCGGUACUAAUAGGCCGUGCGGCUUGACCAAUUU
rnacentral:rRNA from 1 species